AAACCAACAGGGAUUGCCUCAGUAACGGCGAGUGAAGCGGCAAAAGCUCAAAUUUGAAAUCUGGUACCUUCGGUGCCCGAGUUGUAAUUUGAAGAUUGUACUCUGGAGUUGGCCCUUGUCUAUGUUCCUUGGAACAGGACGUCACAGAGGGUGAGAAUCCCGUGCGAUGGGGUGUCCAAUUCCAUGUAGAGUGCUAUCGAAGAGUCGAGUUGUUUGGGAAUGCAGCUCUAAGUGGGUGGUAAAUUCCAUCUAAAGCUAAAUAUUGGCGAGAGACCGAUAGCGAACAAGUACAGUGAUGGAAAGAUGAAAAGAACUUUGAAAAGAGAGUGAAAAAGUACGUGAAAUUGUUGAAAGGGAAGGUUAUUAGAUCAGACUUGGUGUUUGGCGAUAUUCAGCCUCUUGUAGGCUGUUCACUCGUCUUUCACUGGGCCAGCAUCGGUUUGGAUGGCAGGAUAAUGGCUGUUGAACGUGGCUCUUCGGAGUGUUAUAGCUUCAGCUGAUACUGCCUAUCUAGACCGAGGACUGCGGCUUUCGAGCCUAGGAUGCUGGCGUAAUGAUCUAAUAUCGC
rnacentral:rRNA from 1 species